AGGAAGUGGGGAUGACGUCAAGUCCUCAUGGCCCUUAUGUCCAGGGCUACACGACGUGCUACAAUGGUCGGUACAGAGUGACGCGAAGCCGCGAGGUGGAAGCAAAUCGCAAAAAGCCGACCUUAGUUCGGAUUGGAGUCUGAAACUCGACUCCAUGAAGGUGGAAUCGCUAGUAAUCGCGCAUCAGCAUGGCGCGGUGAAUACGUUCCCGGGCCUU
rnacentral:rRNA from 1 species